UCUAAGUGACAAGUGGGGCAGUCUUAAAUUUCCAUGGUCUCAUAGGAGAGGAAAUCAUGCCCUUUUACUCCAACAAUGGGAAAGUCUACUUUCACCAGAUGGAAAGCUUUGAGAUGGAAUGAAGUUAUUGAAGAAAAGUCUGCAGUCUCAGGUGAGAGACUCCUGAUGUUGCAUACCUGCACACUUCUUUGAUCUAUUUUCUCCCUUGCUUGUCAUAUAAUAACCAUGCACUAUUUGCAGGUUCUCGACAAAGCUGAUCGAAUGCUUGACAUGGGAUUCGAGCAAGAAGUUCGCUCCAUAUUGAGCUAGACAUCUCUAGUAUGUGAUUUGUACAAAAACCAUGAAAGAGUUUUGUUGGUUUUUGUCGUAGAAUGAGAUAUGCAUGGACAUGAAUCCGAAUGAGCAUUGUUGCAAAACAAUCUAUGGGAGGGACACAUUUUCUCUAUUUUGUUUCUGUUGCAAUGUAUUUUCCUUUUGUUCCUAGAUAUGGAUAUAUGGAAACAGCUUUGAGUCUUUCCUCAUCACCGUUGUCAAUCCCAACAAGCAAGCACUUGACUCUUGGGAUGAGGAGAAUGGGCAAGGUGGGGAUUUUGCUGCUCUCUGUGAGAAUCCCAAGGCAAAAGAAUACAUUCUUGGGGAACUUACAAAGCAUGCCAAAGCAAAGAAGUUAAAAGGUUUCGAAAUCCCAAAAGCCAUCCAUCUUGACCUAGUACCGUUUGACAUGGAGCGAGACCUUCUCACCCAAACCUAUAAGAAAAUGCGGCAACAGUUGCUCAAAUAUUACCAGAGCACCAUUGAUGACAUGUACAAGAAUGGCAAGUGAGCAAAAUAUCCCCACUCUGACGGUGCAAAUACUGAUGUCCAUGUACAUGGGGGACCCAUAUCCCAUUU